UAAUUAUAUACAGAGCAGAGCUGCUGUGCUCUUAGCAGUAUGAAGGUUUUCGUAGUUUUAAACCGUUUUCAAUGACGAAAUUUUCGAAUCGACGAUCAACUCCGCCAGACUUGACCUACCGUAUCUGAAAUAUCUAGAAAAUAGAUUUUACGAUUUUUCGAUAUUAUUUACCUAGUGAUCGAAAGAGAUCAAAAUCAAUUGCUGGAAAUAAAAAUCUCUCAAAAAGUGGUGAUUUAGUAUUGGAAUUUUCGAUCAGAAAUAUUAAUUUUGUUGUAAAUAGUAUAAAAAAUUUUCUAUCAAAAUUUAGCUGAUUUAAUAUUUUCACAUCAUUAAACUUGAAAAUGGCACAGAACAAUCACUAAAAAUUAUUGAUUUCAAACACUUUUGAUUACUAGCUGAAUGAUAUCGAAAAAUCAAAAAAAUUAUUUCCUAGAUACUUCAAAUAUAGUAGAUCAAGUCUAACGAAAUCGAUCGUCAAUUCAAAAAUUCCAUCAUCAGAAACGAUUUAUGAGCACGAAAGCCUCCAUGCUCGAGAUAUAUAUAUAUAUAUAUAUAUAUAUAUAGAGAGAGAGAGAGAGAGAGAGAGAGAGAGAGAGAGAGAGAGUUGGCCAGAAUACUAUUAAUAGUAUUUGCCUCUUUUUAUUAUCAAGUUUUAGUUUUUAGAUUAAUUCUUUUGAUCAUUUCUAACAAUUGAAUUAAAUAUUAUAAUCUAGUGGAAACCACUCAAUUCUAGAAAGACCACUCAAUCCUAAAGGACUAAUAUUAUCCUAAUCUUAUAAUUUCUCACCUAAGAAUUAAAAACUCAAUAUAUAUAUAUAUAUAAUUAGGCUGGAAUACUAUUAAUAGUAAAAUGUUCUUUUUGCUAUCAAGUUUUUAACCCUUGGAUAAAAAAUUGUAUAUAUAUAUAUAUAUAUAUAU
rnacentral:lncRNA from 1 species